UGGGGGAAUAUUGCACAAUGGGCGCAAGCCUGAUGCAGCCAUGCCGCGUGUGUGAAGAAGGCCUUCGGGUUGUAAAGCACUUUCAGCGAGGAGGGAAGGUGGUGAACUUAAUACGUUCAUCAAUUGACGUUACUCGCAGAAGAAGCACCGGCUAACUCCGUGCCAGCAGCCGCGGUAAUACGGAGGGUGCAAGCGUAAUCGGAAUUACUGGGCGUAAAGCGCACGCAGGCGGUUUGUUAAGUCGAUGUGAAAUCCCCGGGUCAACCUGGGAACUGCAUUUGAAACUGGCAAGCUAGAGUCUCGUAGAGGGGGGUAGAAUUCCAGGUGUAGCGGUGAAAUGCGUAGAGAUCUGGAGGAAUACCGGUGGCGAAGGCGGCCCCCCUGGACGAAGACUGACGCUCAGGUGCGAAAGCGUGGGGAGCAAACAGGAUUAGAUACCCUGGUAGUCCACGCUGUAAACGAUGUCGAUUUUGGAGGUUGUGCCCCUUGAGGCGUGGGCUUCCGGAGCUAACGCGUUAAAUCGACCGCC
rnacentral:rRNA from 1 species